UAAAACUUAUAAAAUUAGGUAGUAAAGGAAUUUCUGAAACCUAAAGAAUUUGGCGGUAUUUUAAAUAAUUGGAGGAACCUGUUAUUUAAUUGACAACCCACAACAUAUCUUUCCUAAAUUUCACUUGUAUAUCGUCGUUUUGAUAAUAUUUAAAAAUUAUAAUCAGUAUUAAUAAAUUUUUAAAAAUCAGAUCAAGGUGCAGUAUAUUUAGGUUAUAAUGGGUUACAAUAUAUGAAUAUAUAAUGGAUGUAAGUUUGAAAUAAUAUUGAAAGUGGAUUCAAAAGUAAUAUUAAAUUAAAAUGUUAAUUUGAUUAAUAAUUUAAAAUAUGC
rnacentral:rRNA from 1 species